GAUGAACGCUGGCGGCGUGCCUAAUACAUGCAAGUCGAGCGAACGGACGAGAAGCUUGCUUUUCUGAUGUUAGCGGCGGACGGGUGAGUAACACGUGGAUAACCUCCCUAUAAGACUGGGAUAACUUCGGGAAACAGGAGCUAAUACCGGCUCAUAUUUUGAACCGCAUGGUUCAAAAGUGAAAGACGGUCUUGCUGUCACUUAUAGAUGGAUCCGAGGUGCAUUAGAUAGUUGGUGCGGUAACGGCUUACCAAGGCGACGAUGGAUAGCCGGCCUGGGAGGGUGACCGGCCACCCUGGGACUGAGACACGGACCAGACUCCUACGGGCGGCAGCAGGGGGGAAUCCUGCGCAAUGGGCGGAAGCCUGACGCAGCGACGCCGCGUGCGGGAUGACGGCCUUCGGGUUGUAAACCUAUUUCAGCAGGGACGAAGAGAAAGUGACGGUACCUGAAGAAGAAGCACCGGCCAACUACGUG
rnacentral:rRNA from 1 species